UUACACAUGUAAGUCGAACGAUGAUUAUCUAGCUUGCUAGAUAUGAUUAGUGGCGGACGGGUGAGUAACAUUUAGGAAUCUGCCUAGUAGUGGGGGAUAGCUCGGGGAAACUCGAAUUAAUACCGCAUACGACCUACGGGUGAAAGGGGGCGCAAGCUCUUGCUAUUAGAUGAGCCUAAAUCAGAUUAGCUAGUUGGUGGGGUAAAGGCCUACCAAGGCGACGAUCUGUAACUGGUCUGAGAGGAUGAUCAGUCACACCGGAACUGAGACACGGUCCGGACUCCUACGGGAGGCAGCAGUGGGGAAUAUUGGACAAUGGGGGCAACCCUGAUCCAGCCAUGCCGCGUGUGUGAAGAAGGCCUUUUGGUUGUAAAGCACUUUAAGCAGGGAGGAGAGGCUAAUGGUUAAUACCCAUUAGAUUAGACGUUACCUGCAGAAUAAGCACCGGCUAACUCUGUGCCAGCAGCCGCGGUAAUACAGAGGGUGCGAGCGUUAAUCGGAAUUACUGGGCGUAAAGCGAGUGUAGGUGGCUCAUUAGGUCACAUGUGAAAUCCCCGGGCUUAACCUGGGAACUGCAUGUGAUACUGGUGGUGCUAGAAUAUGUGAGAGGGAAGUAGAAUUCCAGGUGUAGCGGUGAAAUGCGUAGAGAUCUGGAGGAAUACCGAUGGCGAAGGCAGCUUCCUGGCAUAAUAUUGACACUGAGAUUCGAAAGCGUGGGUAGCAAACAGGAUUAGAUACCCUGGUAGUCCACGCCGUAAACGAUGUCUACUAGCCGUUGGGGUCCUUGAGACUUUAGUGGCGCAGUUAACGCGAUAAGUAGACCGCCUGGGGAGUACGGCCGCAGGGUUAAAACUCAAAUGAAUUGACGGGGGCCCGCACAAGCGGUGGAGCAUGUGGUUUAAUUCGAUGCAACGCGAAGAACCUUACCUGGUCUUGACAUAGUGAGAAUCCUGCAGAGAUGCGGGAGUGCCUUCGGGAAUUCACAUACAGGUGCUGCAUGGCUGUCGUCAGCUCGUGUCGUGAGAUGUUGGGUUAAGUCCCGCAACGAGCGCAACCCUUUUCCUUAUUUGCCAGCGGGUUAAGCCGGGAACUUUAAGGAUACUGCCAGUGACAAACUGGAGGAAGGCGGGGACGACGUCAAGUCAUCAUGGCCCUUACGACCAGGGCUACACACGUGCUACAAUGGUAGGUACAGAGGGUUGCUACACAGCGAUGUGAUGCUAAUCUCAAAAAGCCUAUCGUAGUCCGGAUUGGAGUCUGCAACUCGACUCCAUGAAGUCGGAAUCGCUAGUAAUCGCAGAUCAGAAUGCUGCGGUGAAUACGUUCCCGGGCCUUGUACACACCGCCCGUCACACCAUGGGAGUCUAUUGCACCAGAAGUAGGUAGCCUAACG
rnacentral:rRNA from 1 species